CAAGGUGGAAGACUUUGGAUGAUAUUGAGUUAGAGACUUGUGUAAUUUGACAGAUAAACAAGGAAAACUAUGAUUUCUAUGGAAUUUAAAGCAGCAUUAAAAAUUAUGUGGCAUUUAUGAUAAAAAAAACCCUUUAAAAUGAAAUAUAGGCCAGGAACUGAUAUGUGAUUUAGGAUUUGUUGACUUUAAUAUAAUAACAGAUUUCAAGUCUUGAUGGUUGGAGUUUGAUUAUCUGAGCAACUUUUAGCCAGUUUAAUUUUCCUGUGUUCUUUUUUAUAAAGAUUGUAGCUGCGCAGUCCUGACUUAGGAAUUUGCUUCAUUAUUUGGUAAAUAUUUUAUUUCAAAGUCAUUAUUUUGGAUUUCCAUCCAUUUUUUAUUGUUCUGCAUCAUCUCAGGCACAUGUAGAUACCAACAUAUUUGCAUUAAAGCUGGUGUAAAUCCCUUUUUGAGAACCUCCCAUUUCAGGUGUUGUAACAAAAUGGUGUCACUUUACCUUGCCCUUAAAGACAGGCAGACGGUGAAAGCAAUAUGGCAGAGAAAAAUGAUCGUCUGAAUUGCAGUAUUUGUUUAAACGACUUCAAGAAGCCUAAAAUCUUGGACUGUUUUCAUUCAUUUUGCGAGAGCUGUCUUAGUGAUUAUGUCAGUAAAUAUGAAGAAAAUGGCGAAUUUAUGUGUCCGUUGUGUAGACGUACUAUUCCAAUUCCCACUGGUGGAGUGAAGGGCUUGGCUUCUAAUGUUUACAGCCUGGAAUGUGGUCCCAAUCAGCCUGGAAUGUGGUCCCAAUCAGCUUUGACUUUUGGCCCAAUCAGCCAUGGUCCCAAUCAGCUUGGUUCCCCUCUGUUGACAUAUCACUGAAGCACGAAAAAUCCCCAGGUUGAUCGAACCUACUGACGGAAUACAAAUCGAGGGAAAUCAAUUAUUUACAUACCUAUAUAUUUUUAAAAACCUUAACCGUUGCAGUUUCUUUCUGAUCACCCAUUAUAUACAAUUUGUAGU